GGGACCGAGCGGCGGACGGGUUAGUAACGCGUGGGAACAUACCCCUUUCUACGGAAUAGCCUCGGGAAACUGAGAGUAAUACCGUAUAAGCCCUUCGGGGGAAAGAUUUAUCGGGAAGGGAUUGGCCCGCGUUAGAUUAGAUAGUUGGUGGGGUAAUGGCCUACCAAGUCUACGAUCUAUAGCUGGUUUUAGAGGAUGAUCAGCAACACUGGGACUGACACACGGCCCAGACUCCUACGGGAGGCAGCAGUGGGGAAUCUUAGACAAUGGGCGCAAGCCUGAUCUAGCCAUGCCGCGUGUGUGAUGAAGGUCUUAGGAUCGUAAAGCACUUUCGCCAGGGAUGAUAAUGACAGUACCUGGUAAAGAAACCCCGGCUAACUCCGUGCCAGCAGCCGCGGUAAUACGGAGGGGGUUAGCGUUGUUCGGAAUUACUGGGCGUAAAGCGUACGUAGGCGGAUCAGAAAGUUAGGGGUGAAAUCCCGAGGCUCAACCUCGGAACUGCCUCUAAAACUCCUGGUCUUGAGUUCGAGAGAGGUGAGUGGAAUUCCAAGUGUAGAGGUGAAAUUCGUAGAUAUUUGGAGGAACACCAGUGGCGAAGGCGGCUCACUGGCUCGAUACUGACGCUGAGGUACGAAAGUGUGGGGAGCAAACAGGAUUAGAUACCCUGGUAGUCCACACCGUAAACGAUGAAUGCCAGUCGUCGGGCAGUAUACUGUUCGGUGACACACCUAACGGAUUAAGCAUUCCGCCUGGGGAGUACGGUCGCAAGAUUAAAACUCAAAGGAAUUGACGGGGGCCCGCACAAGCG
rnacentral:rRNA from 1 species